UGUUGUCUGCCGCCUGGUGUGUUCUCAUUUGAAAAAUAGUGUGGUGCAAAAUGAAUUAUAAUAUUAUUAUUUUGAACAUUAUUAUAUCAGUGUCAUUUCCAACAGCAGCAGAAAGAUAUGGUGAGUGAAAUUCCUUGCAUUUUAUACACUUUAGAGUACAUGCACUUUUUAUUUAUUCAAUUAAUUCGAUUUUAAAAAGUACAAUUUAUAAUAAUUUUUCCAAAUAUGUUUUACUUGCAGAGCUUAAACAUGUAAACGAAUCCCAUAUAAGUUAUUUCAAUGGUGAAGCCCCGGAUGGUAAUAAGAGUGAAUACAAAAUAUAAUGAAAUAAUAUUUUUAAAUCAACAUUAUUUUAAAUUCAACUAAGUUUUUAUUAUACAGUGUCCCACGAAGAUAUACCCAUUGUAAUAUUUCCGGAGAUAAUAAAGAUAGUUAAAUUCUGUUUUUUCAUAAUACUUGCAAGGACGAGGACUACAUUUAUUUAUAUUUCAAUUAAUUGUUUAUGUUUUGACAAAAAAACUAAAGAAUAACUUUUUAUUUUAUUAUUUUUGAAAAAUGUGUAUAUUCAGACAGAUCAACUUUUUAUUUUCAUUAAAUUCAUGAUUUUUAAUAAUUGUUUAAAGUUCAGAGAAAAAAAAGCUGUCCUAAGAUAAUGGGGUCGGGUGCAACAAUUUUAAUUGGUAAUUUAAUUUACACUUGUAAGCAACGAUAAACCAUUGCUAAAGAAAAAACGAUUCUGAGCGGAGUUCAGUUGAUAGUGAUGUUUUGUCAACAAUAUAUAUAUUUCACAUUAUGGUAAAAUAGUUAAAUAGACAUUAUAUUUUCUUUAAUAAUAUUUGUUUUAUGUACCGAUUUUACUGUUUUUCCUAUGUUGUUCCAAUGUUUUUUUCUGUGUUUCACAUUUGUUGAGAAAAAUCUUAAGAAAAUCAAAAAUGACUUCUCUAAAAUACCUUUCCAGUAAGAUUUCCUUUCAAAAAAAUCAUCAUUAUCAUUAUUAUCAUUGUAAAUUGAAGCUAAAUUGCUGGUAGUAAAGGUGUCCACAGAAAAAAAAAGGCCGUAAUAUGUUUCUAAUACAUUUCCUACUUUUUCUUGUUUUCUUCCAUUUUUUCCGGCUUUUCUCAUUUUUUCGGAAAAUCGAAAAAUGACUUCCUUAAAGUAUCUCCUCAGUCCGAUUUAUUUUUAGAAAAGUUACUGCACCUAAAAAUCGGUGCAAGAUUUCAGAUAGAAAAGUUGCAGAGAUAGAAAAAAAAUAAAUAUCUUUAUAAAACCAUAACCUUCUUCGCUUCACUCUAGAAUCUAAAAGUGUAAAGUUAAUUAGCAUAAUAAUAAUAGUAAUCAAUUAGCGGAUAGGAUUGCAGCCUGUCGUAUAGUUAUAGGUACUAUUAUUUGAACUUUAAACAAUCAUUAAAAAUCAUGAACUUAAAAAUGAAAAUAAAAAAUUGAAACGUCAAUACUUUCAGAAGAAUAAAUUCUAUAUUAUGAUUCUUCAAAUUUUUCGAAAAUAAUAAAACGGAGUUAUUUUUUUUACUUUUUUUACCAAAACAUACAAAUUUAACUAAAAUAUAAAUAUUUGUAGUCCUUAUUCUAAUGCGUAAUAUAAAAACAAUAGAACUUGAUUAUCUUUAUUAUCUCAAGAAAUAUCCUGGUAAUAGAAAAUGAGUAUAUUUAUGUGAAGGAUCCUGUAUAGCUGUUUAUCUAUAGUAUGAAUAAUACAAGCUGGUAUAUAGGGUUGUUAAUGGAAAAUGUAUGGAAUAUUUACUAAAAUAUUACUUUUUUUCUGUGCACAAAUUUUCAACCAACAAUUUUGAGGAAUUUUUAAUAACUUUUUUUCCUAAAUUCACAUCCUUAAAGUUAUUUAAGAAUUUUUCUAUAAUAUAUUCUCAAAUAUAUUGUCUAAAUAAUUUAUAUUUAUUCUAUGAAAAAUUAAUAUAAAUGUUUAAAAUGUCAGUUGUCAUUUGUCACUAAUAGUAUAAGUAUAUUAUCAAAAUUUUUAUUAUGAAUAUAGGAUCCUUGUUUCACUUUGACACUUUUGAUUAUGUAAAUCCGAAUUUAAUUCCUUUUUCAUUGUAAUUAAAAUUACAAAUAAAUUAUCGUAUAUGGACUUGGGAUUUUUAAUUGUAUUUCUAUAUAAUUUGUUUCAAAUUUCCUAAUGUUGGUCUAAUAUGUGCUGUAUAGUAAAGAAUUUUUCAUUAUUUAGGAUAUCCAUACCUAAUUAAACCACCGACAAUAAUUUCAAAUACGUUUGAGUCAAUAGAGGUAAAUCUGAAUUUUCAUUCAACUAAUAUUGGCGGAGAUAAAAAUCUAAAACUGAAAUAUUAUCAAUUAAUUUAUAAGGUAAGCUUUUAGAAAUAAUAUUAAUUAUGUUAAAUUAAUUUUCAUUAAUGACUAUGCUGUGCCAUUCACUACCUAUGUAUUAAUACGAGUAUAUAUUAUUAAAGAAUACUAUCUUUUUAUAGUAGCUAUGACUAUUGAUUGAAUUAUGAUUGUCAAUUGUAUGAACUAAUUUUUAUUAUCACUUAUUAAAUUAUUUAUAACUAUGAUGAACACAUUUGUUGUAUUUAAAAAUAUAAUAAAUUUGUAUUAUAUCCUUUUAUUCAAGUUCGCUAAAGAACAUUAAUGAAAAAGGGAAAACACGUAUAUUUCCUUCUUUAACGACAUUAACUAAGUAUUCAUAAAAACAAAUUAUUCUCCUAAUCUGAAAUAAAAAAACAUUAAAAUGUUUCAUGUAAAUGCUAUAAUCAAAAGUUGUUAAAUACUUAAAGUAGGUAACAGAAUUGGAAAUAAAAAUUAAUUGAAAAUUAUACAUGUGCUCGAUCGAAAUAAACUUAAAAGUAAUUGUCUUUAAAUUUGUUCAAAUGAUUCAUUAUAAGUUUAUAAUAUUGUACUAGGAAAAAAUCACCGUGUAUUCUAUAACAAUUUCUUAUAAAAACGCAUAUGCUUCUAUUAAAAAAAAAAAAUCAGGAUUAAUAUUGAUAUACAGGUAAUCAGAGGCGUAUAUAGGGGAGGAUUUUGGGGUUCAACCCUUCCCCUAAAAUGUAUGGUUGAUAUAGGCGUAUGGCACACAUUGGUAUUUAUGAAAAUGUAUGUGAAUAUAUUAUAUUAAAGCGUUUAAGUCGUAAUAGAUAUAAAUAUUAUUAUUAUAGUCGGGUAUGAAGUAAGAUUAGAUAACGGCGCACCGCUGCGUGUCGUUUUUUCCAAAUAUAUUAUGGUUUAUGACGUUAAUAUAAGUAACUUUACCGUUUUCAACAGUGUCAUCAGUAAGAUACUUUUCGACGUUUAAAAGAUUGAAAUCGUACUUGAGAAAUAGUUGGUACAAGCGAAAAUCGACCAACAGGAUUAGCCCUCAUGUAAACUCAUCAAAGUAUUUGAAUAGACACUCAAGAAGUUAAUCACUUCUUUUGCCAAUCUCCCUCAAAAAUUAGAUUUUGUUUUUUUAAUUUUAUUUAUGUAUACAUAUAUAUAUAUAUAUAUAUAUUUAUUUACCUAUAUGUUAUACUUGUUUAAAUCUAUAAUUGUUAAAAUAAAGUUAGUUUAUUAUAUUAAUUAAAUAAACUCGUUUUUUUAAAACUCACCCCCCCCACCCAAAAUUAAUUUCUAUAUACGCCAUUGCGGGUACUUUCCGUAUAGAUAUUUGAACUAUUAUUAUUAUUUGAAAUGUGCUGUACUAACCACCACAAUUUGCAUUGAAUAAAUUGUAAUUUUAUCAUAGCUCAAAACGAUAAAGUAUUUAAUGUUGGCACGCACGAAAACAGGAUUACAAGAAACUAAUUUUAUAAUAUUAUGUUUUCUUACAUUAAUGUUUUAAGUUAUUGAAUGAAGAUAAGUUUACCAAUUCCGAACCAAAGGGAAUAAGCGAAAAUAAUAACGGCUCCACUGAAAUUUUAAGCGAUUUAAAACCGGACAGUUUAUAUAAAAUUGGAGUUUUGGUUAUAACAAAUGACGGGAACUUAAACGAUCAGGAUAUCGUGUACGGUCACUAUAGAACAAUGUGUAUAC